rnacentral:rRNA from 1 species
AUUGAACGCUGGCGGCAUGCCUAACACAUGCAAGUCGAACGGGGUAGCAAUACCCAGUGGCGGACGGGUGAGGAAUACAUAGGAAUUUGCCUUUAGGUGGGGAUAGCCCGGGGAAACUCGGAGUAAUACCGCAUGAUGUCGAAAGACCAAAGUAGGGAUCGCAAGACCUUGCGCCUUUAGAGAAGCCUAUGUCUGAUUAGCUAGUUGGUAGGGUAAUGGCCUACCAAGGCGACGAUCAGUAACUGGUCUGAGAGGACGAUCAGUCAC